GUCCACGCCGUAAACGAUGCGCACUAGAUCGGUGCGGCUCUGACGCCGGAUCGGUCGGAGUAAAACGAUAAGUGCGCCGCCUGGGGAGUACGGUCGCAAGGCUAAAACUCAAAGGAAUUGACGGGGGCUCACACAAGCGGUGGAGCAUGUUGCUUAAUUCGAUGCAACGCGAAGAACCUUACCUGGGCUUGACAUGGCCGGAUUAGUCCGCGGAAACGUGGAUGACACCCGCAAGGGUGGAACGGUCACAGGUGCUGCAUGGCUGUCGU
rnacentral:rRNA from 1 species